rnacentral:rRNA from 1 species
UACGUAGGGUGCGAGCGUUUGUCCGGAAUUAUUGGGCGUAAAGAGCUCGUAGGCGGUGUGUCGCGUCGGUCGUGAAAACUUGGGGCUUAACCCUGAGCUUGCGGUCGAUACGGGCAUCACUGGAGUUCGGCAGGGGAGACUGGAAUUCCUGGUGUAGCGGUGAAAUGCGCAGAUAUCAGGAGGAACACCGGUGGCGAAGGCGGCGAUCUGGGUCGAUACUGACGCUGAGGUGCGAAAGCGUGGGGAGCAAACAGG